rnacentral:tRNA from 2 species
GAGAGAUGGUCGAGCUGGCUUAAGGCACCGGUCUUGAAAACCGGCGUACCUUUGCGGGUACCGUGGGUUCAAAUCCCACUCUCUCC